AGAGUUUGAUCCUGGCUCAGGACGAACGCUGGCGGCGUGCUUAAUACAUGCAAGUCGUGCGGACUUCUCAGUUGAGGAGGCUUCGGCCAACAAGACUGUGAAGUUAGCGGCGAACGGGUGAGUAACGCGUGGGUAUCUGCCCUUUAUCCCGGGAUAACAGUUCGAAAGGGCUGCUAAUACCGGAUGACCCCGCAAGGGGAAAGGCUUCGGCCGAUAGAGGAUGAGCCCGCGUCCCAUUAGCUAGUUGGUAGGGUAAUGGCCUACCAAGGCGACGAUGGGUAGCCGGCCUGAGAGGGUGAUCGGCCACACUGGGACUGAGACACGGCCCAGACUCCUACGGGAGGCAGCAGUAGGGAAUCUUCCGCAAUGGACGAAAGUCUGACGGAGCAACGCCGCGUGAGUGAUGAAGGCCUUCGGGUCGUAAAGCUCUGUCCUUCGGGAUGAUAAUGACAGUACCGGAGGAGGAAGUCCCGGCUAACUACGUGCCAGCCGCCGCGGUAAUUC
rnacentral:rRNA from 1 species